GUGUUUGCUUUGACAGCACAUAUACUAAAAAUUGUAAUGAUACAGAGAUGAUUAGCAUUGCCCCUUACCAAGGAUGACACACAUAUUUGUGAAGUGUUCUAUAUAUUU
ensembl:snRNA U6 U6 spliceosomal RNA